GCUGGGCGUGGUGGCUCACGUCUGUAAUCCCAGCACUUUGGGAGGCUGAGGCGGGUGGAUCACCUGAGGCCAGGAGUUUGAGACCAGCCUGGCCAACAUGGUGAGACCCCACCUCUA
rnacentral:SRP_RNA from 1 species